rnacentral:tRNA from 1 species
AGUAAUAUGUCUGAUUAAAGAAAUAUUUUGAUAAAAUAUUCAAGUAUAAUUAAUUUAUACUAUUACUU